rnacentral:lncRNA from 1 species
CCUACAGACACACUACAGACAGUCCUACAGACACACUACAGACAGUCCUACAGACAUGCUACAGACAGUCCUACAGACACGCUACAGACAGUCCUACAGACACGUUACAGACAGUCCUACAGACACGUUACAGACAGUCCUACAGACACGUUACAGACAGUCCUACAGACACGCUACAGACAGUCCUACAGACACGUUACAGACAGCCCUACAGACACGCUACAGACAGUUCUACAGACACGCUACAGACAGUCCUACAGACACGUUACAGACAGUCCUACAGACGCGCUACAGACAGUCCUACAGACACGCUACAGACAGUCCUACAGACACGCUACAGCCUAAAUUCCAAUAUAUAUAAAAUAAAUGUAAAAAGUGAGCAGAGGUCCUAUUAAAUGUCUGUAGGUUACCAUGUCACCAUGUUUAUCAAAGACAAUGUGCAAUCGUAAUUACAGUCCUACAGACACACUACAGACAGUCCUACAGACACAAUACAGACAGUCCUACAGACACACUACAGACAGUCCUACAGACACGCUACAGACAGUCCUACAGACACGUUACAGACAGCCCUACAGACACGUUACAGACAGCCCUACAGACACGCUACAGACAGUCCUACAGACACGCUACAGCCUAAAUUCCAAUAUAUAUAAAAGAAAUGUAAAAAGUGAGCAGAGGUCCUAUUAAAUGUCUGUAGGUUACCAUGUCACCAUGUUUAUCAAAGACAAUGUGCAAUCGUAAUUACAGUCCUACAGACACACUACAGACAGUCCUACAGACACACUACAGACAGUCCUACAGACAUGCUACAGACAGUCCUACAGAUACGCUACAGACAGUCCUACAGACACGUUACAGACAGUCCUACAGACACGUUACAGACAGUCCUACAGACACGUUACAGACAGUCCUACAGACACGCUACAGACAGUCCUACAGACACGUUACAGACAGCCCUACAGACACGCUACAGACAGUCCUACAGACACGCUACAGCCUAAAUUCCAAUAUAUAUAAAAGAAAUGUAAAAAGUGAGCAGAGGUCCUAUUAAAUGUCUGUAGGUUACCAUGUCACCAUGUUUAUCAAAGACAAUGUGCAAUCGUAAUUACAGUCCUACAGACACACUACAGACAGUCCUACAGACACACUACAGACAGUCCUACAGACAUGCUACAGACAGUCCUACAGACACGCUACAGACAGUCCUACAGACACACUACAGACAGUCCUACAGACACACUACAGACAGUCCUACAGACACACUACAGACAGUCCUACAGACACACUACAGACAGUCCUACAGACACACUACAGACAGUCCUACAGACACGCUACAGCCUAAAUUCCAAUAUAUAUAAAAGAAAUGUAAAAAGUGAGCAGAGGUCCUAUUAAAUGUCUGUAGGUUACCAUGUCACCAUGUUUAUCAAAGACAAUGUGCAAUCGUAAUUAAAGUCCUACAGACACACUACAGACAGUCCUACAGACACACUACAGACAGUCCUACAGACACGCUACAGACAGUCCUACAGACACGCUACAGACAGUCCUACAGACACGUUACAGACAGUCCUACAGACACGUUACAGACAGUCCUACAGACACUAGCACCCCAGUAACUGCAUCUCAGCAAGCAUCACUAGUGUGAUUGAUUUAUUGAUUGAUUGAUUGAUUGAUUAGUAUGAUUGAUUAGUAUGAUUGAUUGAUUGAUUAGUAUGAUUGAUUGAUUGAUUGAGUAGUAUGAUUGAUUGAUUGAUUAGUAUGAUUGAUUAGUAUGAUUGAUUGAUUGAUUGACAGGUGUGUUUCUGAUGAUACCACUGAGCGCUGUACAGCUGAAGCCUUCUCCAGACUCACCACUCUAACUGAAGACAGUCUGUACACUAACGUGACACCACAAGACUGUGAAAGCGCACUGAGCUAAACGCCCAGGCAUUAGCCCAGUGUUCCAUACAGCGCAUCACUUCCUCUACACCCCCAGUUGGGCAUCAGAAUGACCUUGCAGAACGUAGUCUUGUAUGGUUUUACUUCACGUGUCUGAUAACGUGUAUACAAACAGUACUAUGAAACUCAGUACUCAUGAAAUCAAAAUCAACACAAAUGUAUCUUGUUAUCAUUAAAAGUGACUUUUUUUGUGGAUAUUUUGUA